AUUGAACGCUGGCGGCAGGCUUAACACAUGCAAGUCGAGCGGGGUGAUGGUGCUUGCACUAUCACUUAGCGGCGGACGGGUGAGUAAUGCUUAGGAAUCUGCCUAUUAGUGGGGGACAACAUCUCGAAAGGGAUGCUAAUACCGCAUACGUCCUACGGGAGAAAGCAGGGGAUCACUUGUGACCUUGCGCUAAUAGAUGAGCCUAAGUCGGAUUAGCUAGUUGGUGGGGUAAAGGCCUACCAAGGCGACGAUCUGUAGCGGGUCUGAGAGGAUGAUCCGCCCCACUGGGCCUGGGACACGGCCCAGACUCCUACGGGAGGCAGCAGUGGGGAAUAUUGGACAAUGGGGGGAACCCUGAUCCAGCCAUGCCGCGUGUGUGAAGAAGGCCUUAUGGUUGUAAAGCACUUUAAGCGAGGAGGAGGCUCUUUUGGUUAAUACCCAAGAUGAGUGGACGUUACUCGCAGAAUAAGCACCGGUUAACUCUGUGCCAGCAGCCGCCGUAA
rnacentral:rRNA from 1 species